AGAUGAGGCGGGCGCGGGCACCGACAUUUCCACAGGUCAGCCGGUGCAGCGGGCGGCGGCGGGGUUGCGAACCCGCCCGCCAGGCCCCGGAGUUCAGGCGCGUUCUUGGGAGACGGCGCGGUCCAACUGGCCUUAGUGAAUAGGGCACCGGCCCAGGAGCCGGAGGCACCCAGGGGUUAGGCCCGCUCCCGACGGCCCCGCGGUGACGAUCCAGUGCGAGGAAGCCAAGACUGCGAGAAGGGCGGCCAUCGCCGUGCAUAACGACGGGGAGGCCAGGAGGACCUAUUAUGUGACAGGCAUCUGCUGGCAGUGGGAUACAGCAGAGAGCAAGACAGACAUGACCCCUGCUUUCAUGGAGUGUAAACUUUGCUGGAAUGGAAAUGUCUCCUCCACAAUGAAAAAAAAAAUCGUCAUUUGGAUGUGAAUGAGAAUGGAAUCUGGUCUCCAGAGCAAAGUUCCUGGCUUCUAGGCUCAACUGUAAGGCCUCGUAGAGUGCGCCCUGUGUGCUCAGGAAGUGCUGGAUGAGGGGCUGCCGUGGGGUGAAGGAGGCAUGGGGUGCCGGAUCCAGGAUUUCAGGCUUUCCACGCCCGGACUCCACUUUCUCUGCCAAAGUUUUCCCGUGAACCAUUUCCAGACUAUAAGGAGAGGGGAAGAAGGAUGCUGUUCUCAGCAGGGAGGCCUGCAGAGAUUGUCGUCUCUCUAGGGAAGAAGGAGAGGCUGCAGGCAGGUUCAUAGCCUUCCACAGCCUGCCGUACUGGACACUGCAUCCUCCUGCAUGGCUCGGCCUGUUUAAAUUUUGUCGUCUUCAUUCAGCAAACAUGCAUGCGAGGCCUUCUGUGUACCAGGCUUUGUGUGCUGGAGGCAGGGGAUACGAAGACAGAUGAAACCUGUUCCUGCCCCCAUCCAUUCUCUACAUCUGCUUCCUUAUGAGGAAGGAGUUUUUAACCAGCGUUUUGAAGGAUGAGUUGAAGAGUUCAAAUGAAACAG